ACGUUAGCGGCGGACGGGUGAGUAACACGUGGGUAACCUACCUAUAAGACUGGGAUAACUUCGGGAAACCGGAGCUAAUACCGGAUAAUAUUUCGAACCGCAUGGUUCGAUAGUGAAAGAUGGUUUUGCUAUCACUUAUAGAUGGACCCGCGCCGUAUUAGCUAGUUGGUAAGGUAACGGCUUACCAAGGCGACGAUACGUAGCCGACCUGAGAGGGUGAUCGGCCACACUGGAACUGAGACACGGUCCAGACUCCUACGGGAGGCAGCAGGC
rnacentral:rRNA from 1 species